CACAGGUGCUGCCCCCGGCUGCUCUUCUCGUUCUGGGCCCACGUGACGGACUUUCCGUUGGAGCUGCGGAGAGAAGGGAGACCAGAGGUGUCUACUAACUUCUGGAACAUGGCACAGAAGAAAUGGGCCAGACUCUUUAUGGGAUUUCAUUGGGAGGAUUGUUGCCAACAAUCCCUUUUCUCUCCUACCAGCAGGAUAAGAAACAGGCUGACUUUCAGGAGCUUCCCUUCCACACCUUUGUACCACCGAUGGAUGGGGAAAUGCCACAAUAAAGUAGAAGUGGAGAGUUAGUUCAUGAAAACACUGGAAACCAUGGUCUCUUUUUGCUAUGGACAAUUGUCUGAUGUACUUAACAAUGCUACAGCCAUGUUAUAGGCACAAGAGAAGGGACGGGUUUGGAAAGUUUCUGGAUUGGUGCACACAUGGAGAUGCCAAGAGGGGGGCUCACCCUGAGAGGGUACAGAAGAUCCACAUAGCUGCCCUAUGCGUUUCUUCCAUCUGGCUCCUCCUGAGUUAUUUAUGUCCUACAAGAAACCUGUGAUCUGAAUUGGCCUUGGUCUGCAUGGACUUGCCAAAGAUUUUUCUCAAUCACCUUUCCUGUCACUAGACUAAGAAAGUAUCAAGAAAAAUGAAAUGAAGAAUACAAAGAUUUAUGGCCAUGUCGCCUUUAAGAUUAUCCUAAUUUUGGAUGCUGACAGUGAUAAAGUAAGGAGAAAACUGAUAUACAUGUGAAGAGCAUUUCCAAUAUUGGAGACAACUUUCCCUGUGCCAUGUGAUUCUCUCCACAAACAAAGACCUGUCAAAAUGGAGGGCUUAAGCUCUCUCCAUCCCUAGAAAGAGGGUGACUUGAAGGGGAGAAAGAGGAAAACCAAUGGGGGCAAGACCAUUGCUCUGCCUGUUAGCUCCAUGUCAGAGCCACAUCUGUAUCCUAUGCCCAUGAUGGUGUCUAGAACCUGGCAGGGUUUAAUGAAAGAAAUGUGCUGGUGGAAAGAACAAAUGAGAAAAAAAGAAAAAAAAAAAAAGAUUACUUCAGGGAAGAUGUAGAGAAAUCACAAGGAAGCAAAAGAUAAACAACACUACAACCAGGACCCAUGGUAUCGUGUUGUCUUUCAAGGCCUUUGCUGUCUGCUCUUAGAUAACUACGUCCUUUCCUGUGCCCCCGACAAAGACCUGAAGCACCUAUACGGUUCUCUGCUGACAUUAUCUGUUCACAUCUCUGGCUCCACUUUGAGGAGAGGCAUUGUCCAGGGAAAGGACAGUAUUAUAUUCAUCUUGAUUACCUCCAGUGCCUAAAAUACCAUCUAGCUCACAGAAGACAGCGUUACGAAUCAUAGGCUCUCAGCAAAUGCUACUUGUGUAUUACUACAGUCGGGAUGAUAAACAUGCACUGAGCAGAGAACCUUGCUUUCCUGUGACUGACUUCCGCCCAACUCGUUCCAGCCAACUUGUUUUUGCUGUCUGGUAUACAAUUUAGAGCCUCCAACCUCUACUGACUUCAGUUGAAUUUAUUAAUUUGGAUCCCAUUCUCCGUAAAAGCGUGCAUUGCCCCCUUGUGUCUCCUCUAGUGAAACACCCCACGACCCCGUUCCGGUAUUUGUCCCCCUUCCUGUGGGGCUCUGCUGCCCUCUAGGGGGCCUUGUUCAUCUCACACUUCUCGGGACCCGGUUAGAUCUGCAUUUGGCAGCACAGUCCUUGGGUGGGAAGGCCAUGCUCAGGGCGGGGCUGCCAGCUCCCAGGGCUCCCUUGCCUGCUCUUCUCAUCCCCAUCUUGUAAGUUUGUGGCUCUAUAGUGUAAUCAGUUUAGGGGUUUGGUACUUGAGCUUCGUUAAGCAAGGAGGAUGUCAAGAAGAGAAACUCAUCACAAGUGGAGGUUUGGAGAGCGCUGCCGUGGGGUCUCCGUUCGUUGGUACCAACAGGGUCCUCAGUUACGGGUAUCCCACUUGUGUCACGGUAUUUUACAUAUUGCAUCAACAUGUAUUCUAUGGAGUCCAGUAGCCGACUAAUGGAAGUGUUCGACCUGAUGAAUGAACAAUGAUUUCUGUCUUUGCCUCGGCCUCUGGGGACAAAGAACUCCCUCAAAGCAUCUGGGGAUUCCAUUGCUUUUUGUCAAAGCCCAAAGUAACAUCUGGUUGCCACAUCCAGUUAGGAUGACCCUUACCUCUACCUAGUUUGACUUUGCUGGAGCCGUUGACCACUUCUUCGUUUAUGAAUUGCUCUUUUUCCUUUCGUGUCACCACUUGCAUCUGGGGGUCAGGGGUACUUGGUCUGUUCUUCUGGAAUUCUUUGGUCUGCAGACUCCCUUUCCUUAUCUAAUUUCUGGUUUUGCCCUUGGUUCUCCCACAUUGUACUUCAAACACUAAACUCUCCUGAUUUUCAGGCCAGUUUUUCCAGCAGCUUCUUGGACUUGUUCACUUAGAUGUUCUCUUGGGAAUCUUGAAUUUAAUAAUUCCAAAACUAAACUCGUGUUUUCUUCACACUUUCUCUCCUUUAACUUGGGAUCAUCUCCGGUUCCAAAUUUCUUUUAGUUCAUCCUUUUUUUUUUUUUUUUUAAGAUUUUACAUAUUCACGAGAGACAGAGAG